CCCGCUGAACUUAAGCAUAUCAAUAAGCGGAGGAAAAGAAACCAACAGGGAUUGCCUCAGUAACGGCGAGUGAAGCGGCAACAGCUCAAAUUUGAAAUCUGGCUCUCUCAGGGUCCGAGAGGUGAUUUGUAGAGAGAUGUGUCGGGUGUGGCUGCAGUCUAACUUACUUGGAACAGGACGUCAUAGAGGAUGAGAAUGCUGUCACGUGACUGAUACGCUUUGCCCAUGUUAAGCUCUUUACUCGAGUCGAGUUGAGUGGGAAGGCAGCUCAAAACGGGUGGUAAAUUUAAUCUCAAGCUAAACAUUAUACAGAGGACGAUAGCGCACAAGUCGAGUGAUCGGAAGAAGAGAAGCACUGCGCAAAGAGAAGAGAGCUGUACGUGACAUGGUAGAAAGGAAAGCGCUUCAAGUCAAGUCAGUCGUGUCAUCAUAAACCUCGCCUGGCCUCGGCGUGCUGCUCGUCUCUGCGGGUCAGCCUAGCAUCAGCCUCUCCGACAAAGACGAGGGAAAAGAGACGCCGCUCCGCUGUGUGAGAGACACUCUUCCCUUGCGAGGGUCGGCAGUGACGAACGCAGCCAGCGCCCCCGGGAUUCGCGGCUUUCGCCCACGAUACGUGCUUAGGAUGCUGGCGUAAUGGCUUUAAACGACCCGUCUUGAAACACGG
rnacentral:rRNA from 1 species